rnacentral:lncRNA from 1 species
GCUCCAUGAUGAAUUGCCACCAGUGCAACAUCCUAUUCACUAUACAUUUCUAAACGCGAAGGCUACCAGACAAUCAUUUAGCUGGAGUGCAUGUGGGAAGCUCUCAGACGAUGCACAGGUAUAGUGCUGUCCACGGUGCGAGGCGGUGGAGGACUGAAAACAUGCAACCUUUACAUCUACAGUGGAUUUAGUCUUCAUGCCUGGACUGAAUCCCACAGCUGCUGUGUUUCAACCAAUAUUAAUUUAGACUUUGUGCAACAACAAAAGUCUUUUUUUUUUUGUCCUUUAAGAAGAAAGAAUAAACUCAAUUACCAUUGGCAAAUUUUAUACCCAUCUCACAUGUUUAGAAUUGUGUUUCCAAUUCGAAGAUUUGAUAUCCUCUGC